rnacentral:rRNA from 1 species
UACACUCCUACGGGAGGCAGCAGUGGGGAAUAUUGGACAAUGGGCGCAAGCCUGAUCCAGCCAUGCCGCGUGAGUGAUGAAGGCCCUAGGGUUGUAAAGCUCUUUCACCGGAGAAGAUAAUGACGGUAUCCGGAGAAGAAGCCCCGGCUAACUUCGUGCCAGCAGCCGCGGUAAUACGAAGGGGGCUAGCGUUGUUCGGAAUUACUGGGCGUAAAGCGCACGUAGGCGGAACGAUCAGUCAGGGGUGAAAUCCCAGGGCUCAACCCUGGAACUGCCUUUGAUACUGUCGAUCUGGAGUAUGGAAGAGGUGAGUGGAAUUCCGAGUGUAGAGGUGAAAUUCGUAGAUAUUCGGAGGAACACCAGUGGCGAAGGCGGCUCACUGGUCCAUUACUGACGCUGAGGUGCGAAAGCGUGGGGAGCAAACAGGAUUAGAAACCCUUGUAGUCCCA